ensembl:misc_RNA Metazoa_SRP Metazoan signal recognition particle RNA
GCCAGGCGUGGUGGCGCACACCUAUAAUCCCAGCUACUCAGGAGGCUGAGGCAGGAGAAUCGCUUGAACCCAGGAGGCAGAGGUUGCAGUGAGCCGAGAUCACGCCACUGCACUCCAGCCUGGGUGACAGAGCGAGACUCUGUCUCAA